rnacentral:rRNA from 1 species
UACGAAGGGGGCUAGCGUUGUUCGGAAUUACUGGGCGUAAAGCGCACGUAGGCGGAUACUUAAGUCAGGGGUGAAAUCCCGGGGCUCAACCCCGGAACUGCCUUUGAUACUGGGUAUCUCGAGUCCGGAAGAGGUGAGUGGAAUUCCGAGUGUAGAGGUGAAAUUCGUAGAUAUUCGGAGGAACACCAGUGGCGAAGGCGGCUCACUGGUCCGGUACUGACGCUGAGGUGCGAAAGCGUGGGAGCAAACAGG